rnacentral:lncRNA from 1 species
UUGCAGUCCGAUGCUGCUGCACACAAGCAUGAUAACUAAUGUAAUGUUUUAUUGUUCUUUGUCCUUCUAUUUGUUUUCAAUGCAGAUGUAUUUUAGCUCUUGAGUGUUGAGGAGGCAGAGCAGUGUCUUGAAGCUGUUUCAAGCAGCAGCCGGACCUCCGGACCCCAUGACCAAUGGAUGUCGAGCGCUGGACCAGAUCACCUAGCAGCAGACCAGAAAGUGAGUUCCUGUCAAGGUUUGUGUUGGUUUUCAUGUCAGGGUUACAAAUAGGCUGGUUGUGUAACGAUGCAAGCCCAACUGAGCAUCCCGGGUUACGCCUUUGCUUUGUUACAAUGGUAUCGAGACGGGGCCGCACGACUUCCGAUGAAAUCUUCGGGUCGGUGGUUCGAUUCUGACAACAAGCAGGUAUCGCAGAAAGCGAUAUCAUGGGUAAUGGAUAAACCAGCGCACAAUCCGUGAGGUGGGAUGGCUCCAAUGCUCGAUAUAAUGGCCGCGGACGUCCAUUGCUAAAGGGGGGGCAAUGUAACGACGCAAGGCCCAACUGAGCAUCCCGGGUUACGCCUUUGCUUUGUUACAGGUUGGGUGCUCAUCAAGAAUUGCAUGGUUUUGCGACAUCAAGUUAAUUGUGUGCUUCAGUAUAGCAACCUGUCCAUUUUUACUCCACUAAGCCUAUUUGUCUAUAACUAAUUGACUGACACGUGUCCCGCUGCUGCUGCACUCAACCACCCCUUGGACAUGGUGUGGGCGGUGGAAAUUGUUCAGGCGCUCAGCAGAGCGCUCGCAUGUUUGCCUCAAGGUGCAAAGCGCUCCGUGUCUGUGGUAAAUCAAUACCAGUUGUUGAUAAUGCGCUUUACCUCGGCCCCGGCGGUAACUUAGCGUCAUGCAAUUCCGGAGGCCCAGUCUUCGCCGAGUUUAGGCAGCAACCAGGUCAUAUGCGUUGAGAGCAUAGACCUGCCUUCUAACCUGACCAUUGGGAUGAAAACACAACAGCACACACUUUUGCACGUUGACAGUGAGACCGAAAGCCUCCGACCACUCCCGCAGUGCCCGUCGUAAGCUCAUCAACCGUCUCAGUGACAUCGUGAAUAGGCUCAGGUCAUCAACGUAGAGGGUUAGGGGCAUUCGACGACCUUCAACGUUAGGGGUGUCAGGGGCCGCCAUGGCAUCAGGAAGCGCGUCGUCUAGAGCAUCAAUGUAAUCUGCAAAAACCUCAACAAAAAAACCGAAGAGCGUGGGGCUCAUUGGGCAACCCUGCUUAACCCCUUGGGUGGAGGGAAACGCCUUUCCUUUUGCUCCGUUAAGCUGGAUUCGCCGGUCAAACACUUUCUCAAAAUCAAUCUGGCAUACAAACAACACUUGUCCCAGAACGUUAACAAAAUCCUUACGGCAACGGUCUGUGAGGUGUCGCACCAAGAACAAAUUCUGAGUGGUGCCGCACCGAGGCCGAAAGCCACCCUGAUACCUCGAACUGCCUAGGGUAGUCCCCAGUCGACCGGAUAUGUUCCAACAGACACAGCAGAUACGGUGCAAGCACCAACUCUUCCUUUUCUCCCACCUUCCUGGUGGCAUACUUCCAACACUCAGCAGGGGCCCUUUCAAGUCCUGGGGAUUCAUUGUUGCCCAGCAUUUUUAGCGAAACGAUGACCUCUGCCAAGGUAAACGGGACACUGAGGGCCGCAGCAGCAGCGACUCUCUGAUUUCGGGCUUAACAGCUCUCACCAGCCCAGCCGCGCGGUAUUGUAAGUGAGCACCCAUUGACGAGGUCCAUCAUGCAAUCCGCUCUAACCUCGUUAAAAGUGUUGAUCUCGUCAUGGUACAGUGCAUCAAAAUAGUCGCGCCAGCUGUUGACGUCACGUAUCGGGCAAUCAGGUUUCGCCCCCUGGUCGAGUUGCCGCCACAGUGCGCGCGGAUCCCCCUUGCACCCCUCAAGAAACGUAGUAAAUGCGACACACGAUAAGAAGCCAUUGCCUCCUUCCUAAUCCUCUGGUAGCGUGAGCGCAGGAGUGUAAAGAUCUGCAGCGCCUGCUCAUCAGCGAGUAACCCCUCGAAAAUAAAAUUUAUUCCUUAUGCUGAGCUAGCCCACCGUCCUACAUGCGGCAUCUUGUCCUUCCGCCGUCGAACGUUCGUCAGAAGUAGAGCCAGAGGCAUGUCCUGGACUGAAUGAUAAGGGAUAAAACUGGCUUUUGCGCAGCUGUGUCACAUGGAUGUCCUUGAAGACGGAGGCGCAGGUAACGUAGGGAAGGCCUGUCCUCCUCCAGAUAGGGGAGACAUGAAGACCGGCGGGGGGGGCGGUGGAGGAAGCC